rnacentral:rRNA from 1 species
GAUGAACGCUAGCGGCAGGCUUAAUACAUGCAAGUCGAGGGACAGCACAGGUAGCAAUACUGGGUGGUAACCGGCAAACGGGUGCGGUACACGUACACAACCUUCCUUUAAGUGGGGGAUAGCCCAGAGAAAUUUGGAUUAAUACCCCGUAAUAUAGUUGAAUGGCAUCAUUUGAUUAUUAUAGCUACGGCGCUUAAUGAUGGGUGUGCGGCUGAUUAGAUAGUUGGCGGGGUAACGGCCCACCAAGUCUACGAUCAGUAGCUGAUGUGAGAGCAUGAUCAGCCACACGGGCACUGAGACACGGGCCCGACUCCUACGGGAGGCAGCAGUAAGGAAUAUUGGUCAAUGGACGCAAGUCUGAACCAGCCAUGCUGCGUGAAGGAUUAAGGUCCUCUGGAUUGUAAACUUCUUUUAUUUGGGACGAAAAAGGGCCUUUCUAGGUCAACUGACGGUACCAGAUGAAUAAGCACCGGCUAACUCCGUGCCAGCCGCCGCAGUAAAAC